UACGUAGGGGGCGAGCGUUUGUCCGGAAAUCAUUGGGCGUAAAGAGCUCGUAGGUGGCUUGUCGCGUCUGCCGUGAAAGCCCGGUGGCUUAACGUACGGGUCUGCUGGUGGGAUACGGGCAGGCUAGAGGCUGGUAGGGGCAAGCGGAAUUCCUGGUGAGCGGUGAAAUGCGCAGAUAUCAGGAGGAACACCGGCGGCGAAGGCGGCUGCUGGGCCAGUUCUGACGCUGAGGAGCGAAAGGACGUGGGGGAGCAAACAGG
rnacentral:rRNA from 1 species